AUGAUCAGCUGUGGAGCGGGUCUAUUUCUUGUUUUGCUCGGGACUAGUAGAAUGAGAUACGAGAAAUUCUAUUCACCUGGAGAAUAAAUGGCUUAGAAGCUAAAUUUGUGCCUGCAACUUGCAUUGCCAAAGGUCAGAGCUUAUGGGCCGCACCACUCAAACCAUCCGAUGACCAGGAGGGUGAACAAAGAAAUCAUUUUCUUAGUCAUGCGUGUGAACCACACUUAAGGGGGAUGAGAAGAUAGUGAACGUGGCAUCACUUGCUCCACAUUUUCUGUCCUGUGUAAAAGAGAAAGGAAUUUUCAUUUUCAUUUCCCAUCCGUCGUCAUCAUUUAUUACAACCUUGGUUUCGAUGUGAUUCUGUAUUGCGAGAUCUCUGCAUCUAGAGUUCGAUUGCUCGGCAGAGAAAUGGGUUCGACUUAUCGAAAGGUGUGGACUGGAUUUAAGUGUAAUCAGCGAGAAGAGCCAGGAGAUGCAUGUGUUAAUUACUUCGAGUUCCUACAACAACGAGAGUGGAUCUGUGGUGUUUUGGGGUCGAUUGUUUUGACCUAAAAUAGGUGUUGAAUAGCGAGUAGAUGGGUUUGCUGCUGAUGGAGAUGUUCAUGAUUUCAACACUUCUCAAUCUCAACUGAGCUCGAAUUUUCUCUCACCAUCAACAACAACAUUAGUACAUGGAGGCUCUGUUGAGCCGAAAUUCAGGUGAAAACGAGUUAGUCAGUGACUGGUCGCAAUGGGUUUAGUGUCGGUGGUUAAUUGCGAGCAACAAAGAAGUAAUGGAGACUGAUUUGAAGUCUGCCAUAAAAUCUAAGCUAGGGUUUUAGUGACGGAUCUAUAGGGUGCUAAUGUGUUCUGAAAAUUAGUGUUGCUGCCAUGAAAUGUUCACUGUAUGCAAAAGAUUGAGAGAAGGGUACCGCAGUUGAAAUCAACUGUGAACUGGCUAUUGUUUAAAGAUCAGAUUGGGGGUUCUUCGCAUCAAUUCAAAUUGGGAGUUCUCAUGUGGGUUUUGUCUGGAAUGCUUAUAUGAUGGUGAUGUAUUUAGGCUGCUGGUAUCAAUUGAAUCAAAAUAAGUAGAAGACCUAUUCAUUACAAGCGGAUGGUGGUGGUUGUCUACAGAUGUGAAUGAGAACAGAUUUGGGGCUAAACAGUUCGUGGGAUAUUGCACAGCAACUGUUUACUGCCAUCGAUUCAUGGCUGUAUGGAGCUCGGUUCGGAGCUGAUUAAGCUAAAGAAUUGCAGUCAGUGGUGGCAAUGUACAGUUGUAGCCGAGAAUGGAGAUGGAAUCGAACUGAAACAACAACGAUGGAGUUGGGGGUUUUCUGUGGUGUCUUGGGUGAUUGCUAGAGUAAGUAGUGUUGCAGCCAAGAAGCUGGUGGAUGGUUGAAUUGGUGUUGCUGGUAGAAGGGAGAAGAGGAACUGUGCUAUGUCUAUAUGUUGGCUGAUUUGAAUUUGUGCUGGUGAUGAUUGUUUGGGUUUUUGCCAAAAUUUGGAGUUGGUCUGGAGAUGCAAUGAAGAAUGAAUUGGCUGCAAGCAAUGUGCUUAUGAUGCUGGGGUCAAUUUAACAAGGAAGUGGAGAUUUAGAAGCACAGAAGAUGGGCUGUUGUGGUUGGAUGAAGCUUAAGUAGAUGAUCAAGAAAUGAUAGUUGGGGCAGAGAUUAAGAAGUGGUGCCCAGGUAGACAGAAUAUGGAGUUGCUUACUGUGGCCGGACCUUGGAGAGGGCCUGGAUUUGGCAAUUGGUGUUCGUGGACCGGCUGGACUUUGGUCGUUGUUGUCACCAAUACAAGAAAAUAACUAUAGUGCUAUAUAAGGCAGGAAUGAGGAGAAGAAAAGGGAGGCCGGAUACAGGGAAGAAAAGGAGGUUUUAGCCAUUUUGCUUUCUGCUAUCAUAUGCUUAGUUUAACAAUCUCUAUAUCAUUUUUUAUGGCUUUGAACGAAACCAUGUCUAGCUAAGCUACUCAUUAGGGUGAAGGAUGAACUUGUAGGUUAAAGUGCUUGUGUUCUUAAACAAUGGUUUCAAAAAUAAGAUCUUAAAUUCAAUGUUUGUGUUUCUCAAAA